CCUACGGGUGACAGCAGUGAGGAAUAUUGGUCAAUGGACGAGAGUCUGAACCAGCCAAGUAGCGUGAAGGAUGACUGCCCUAUGGGUUGUAAACUUCUUUUAUAUGGGAAUAAAAUGUUCCACGUGUGGGAUUUUGUAUGUACCAUAUGAAUAAGGAUCGGCUAACUCCGUGCCAGCAGCCGCGGUAAUACGGAGGAUCCGAGCGUUAUCCGGAUUUAUUGGGUUUAAAGGGAGCGUAGAUGGGUUGUUAAGUCAGUUGUGAAAGUUUGCGGCUCAACCGUAAAAUUGCAAUUGAUACUGGCAGCCUUGAGUACAGUUGAGGUAGGCGGAAUUCGUGGUGUAGCGGUGAAAUGCUUAGAGAUCACGAAGAACUCCGAUUGCGAAGGCAGCCUACUAAACUGCCACUGACAUUGAUGCUCGAAAGUGUGGGUAUCAAACAGGAUUAGAUACCCUUGUAGUC
rnacentral:rRNA from 1 species